UCUACGGGUGGCAGCAGUGAGGAAUAUUGGUCAAUGGGCGGAAGCCUGAACCAGCCAAGUCGCGUGAGGGAUUAAGGCCCUGCGGGUCGUAAACCUCUUUUGCCGGGGAGCAGUGGUCCGGACGCGUCCGGACCGGGAGAGUACCCGGAGAAAAAGCAUCGGCUAACUCCGUGCCAGCAGCCGCGGUAAUACGGAGGAUGCGAGCGUUAUCCGGAUUUAUUGGGUUUAAAGGGUGCGUAGGCGGACUGUUAAGUCAGCGGUAAAAGCCCGGGGCUCAACCCCGGCGAGCCGUUGAAACUGGCUGUCUUGAGAUGUCGGGAGGUAUGCGGAAUGCGCAGUGUAGCGGUGAAAUGCUUAGAUAGUGCGCAGAACUCCGAUUGCGAAGGCAGCAUACCGGCGGCGAUCUGACGCUGAGGCACGAAAGCGUGGGUAUCGAACAGGAUUAGAUACCCUUGUAGUC
rnacentral:rRNA from 1 species